GGUGAUAUCGCCAAGUGGUAAAGGCAGAGGGUUGCAAACCCUUUAUCCCCAGUUCGAAUCUGGGUAUCAUCU
rnacentral:tRNA from 1 species